GUUACUAAUUAGGUCUUUCCACUUUUCUGUGGAAAGACCUAUUGUUUUUCUUCUGAUUAUUUUUUUUUUUUUCUUCCGCCUAAUUUUGUUCUUGCGAUAAACAUUUGUUUCGCAAUAUGUCGCUUAGAUAUUUGGUAUAUGAUAUCGAACAGUUUAUGCGCUUUUGAAAUUUACCCUGCGUAUACGAAUACUUUUCUUUGUAGGAGUUAUCUCCCCAAACACUGUUUUCCUUGUUAGCGCAUCUCCUUCGCAACCGUAAAAGAUUAUGACAAAUUUAUUUUACAAAAUUGCUCGUUAUAUCCUUCGCAUGAUUUGUCCUAUUUUGACCGAAGCGAUAUGACCGCUCCAUAUGAGAGUUAUUUCCCCUUAUGCAUCUGAUAUAAGUGAUAUGAAUUUCUAUCUUAUAA
rnacentral:lncRNA from 1 species